CUGUAGUGGGUGCAGCAGCAGCAGACCCUCCCUCCCAGACCCUCCCACCUCCUGGACAGCAUCCAUUUUGAAGCUGCAUUCUUAGUGAGCUGUCCAGGAGGUGGGAGGGUCUGGGAGGGAGGGUCUGCUGCUGAUUGGCUGGAAUGUGUCU